UACAGAGGUCUCAAGCGUUGUUCGGAUUCAUUGGGCGUAAAGGGUGCGUAGGCGGCGCGGUAAGUCGGGUGUGAAAUCUCGGGGCUUAACUCCGAAACUGCAUUCGAUACUGCCGUGCUUGAGGACUGGAGAGGAGACUGGAAUUUACGGUGUAGCGGUGAAAUGCGUAGAUAUCGUAAGGAAGACCAGUGGCGAAGGCGGGUCUCUGGACAGUUCCUGACGCUGAGGCAACGAAGGCCAGGGGGAGCAAACGGG
rnacentral:rRNA from 1 species